GACGAACGCUGGCGGCGUGCCUAAUACAUGCAAGUCGAGCGGACGAAUCGAAAGCUUGCUUUUGAUUCGUUAGCGGCGGACGGGUGAGUAACACGUGGGCAACCUGCCCUGUAGACGGGGAUAACACCGAGAAAUCGGUGCUAAUACCGGAUAACACGAAAUGUCGCAUGACGUUUCGUUGAAAGACGGCGCAAGCUGUCGCUACAGGAUGGGCCCGCGGCGCAUUAGCUAGUUGGUGAGGUAACGGCUCACCAAGGCGACGAUGCGUAGCCGACCUGAGAGGGUGAUCGGCCACACUGGGACUGAGACACGGCCCAGACUCCUACGGGAGGCAGCAGUAGGGAAUCUUCCGCAAUGGACGAAGGUCUGACGGAGCAACGCCGCGUGAGCGAAGAAGGUCUUCGGGUCGUAAAGCUCUGUUGUUAGGGAAGAACAAGUAACGCAGUAACUGGCGUUACCGUGACGGUACCUAACGAGAAAGCCACGGCUAACUACGUG
rnacentral:rRNA from 1 species